GCUUCACUCUCCCCUCCCCUUUGGGCCGUACCAUUCUUCACAUUAAUAAAGGGGGGGUCUACUCGAAAUAACCGAGAACCGACAACAACCGCCUCUCUUUCCAGCUCCUCUCCGUGUUGACAGUGUUGUUCCGAAUACGAGCCGGAACAAAGCCCUUUCCAUGUGUUUUCCGAAAAUAUUAAUUUGUAUCGAUCCGUGUGAGAAAGCAAUCUAGCACCCCUCUCUUUCAUUAGGCUUGGUAGAACCCCGGCCGUACCAUUUUUUGCGAUUUUUGGAGGGGGAAAUAGAAACGCUCUUCUUGUAUUAGACCUAGAACAAUGCUCUAGGUAAAUAUGCAUUGAUGAUUAUCUGAAGUCUAAGAAACGUUCGGUGGAAAAUAAAAGAAGCCUCGCCUCGCCACAAACACACCUAUAGGCCAUAUAACGAUUCGACGUUCUUUCUCCUCAUCUCCAGGCAAGGAACAAAGAGGGAAAGAACAGUACACCACGCGGCUCCCCUCUAUGGAGAUUCGCAAUGGUAUCGCCCUCAAGAGUACUUCGGCUAUCGGCAAAUUCCAUUGCCGAAAAUAGGAGAGCCAGCGGGCAGGGGGAGAAUCGCUCUUUUAAUCGCACUCCGUUUAGACAUUUUUUUUAAUUCAUUCUGCUGAGAUGUGUGUGUGUUUUUUGUAAUGUUUUCUUUUCCCACAACGAAUUCAAGGUCACGUGGUCAUCUUUUAAAAAUAAACUUUCAACUUGAAGUUAAA